GCCAGUUUGGCCGAGUGGUUAAAGGCGUUUGACUUAAGCUCAAAUCCGUUCUGGUUCGUCGGUUCGAAUCCGACAGCUGGCA
rnacentral:tRNA from 1 species